rnacentral:tRNA from 1 species
GCGGAAGUGGCGGAAUUGGCAGACGCGCUGGGUUCAGGGUCCAGUGGGGGCAACUCCGUGGGGGUUCAAGUCCCCCCUUCCGCA